UACGUAGGGCGCAAGCGUUAUCCGGAAUUAUUGGGCGUAAAGAGCUCGUAGGCGGUUUGUCGCGUCUGCCGUGAAAGUCCGGGGCUCAACUCCGGAUCUGCGGUGGGUACGGGCAGACUAGAGUGAUGUAGGGGGAGACUGGAAUUCCUGGUGUAGCGGUGGAAUGCGCAGAUAUCAGGAAGAACACCCGUGGCGAAGGCGGCUCUCUGGGACGGUACUGACACUGAGGCACGAAAAGCGUGGGGGAGCAAACAGG
rnacentral:rRNA from 1 species